rnacentral:lncRNA from 10 species
AAGCAGACAUCACAUCAUUCUGAAUAGAAACUCUUUGGGUCCACAACACCUUACCAGCUUUACUCAUAGAACAUGAGCAUGUGAUCUGGUCUCUUCAUGGAAUCCAAGAAGUAUUUAUCUUUUUUGAAUAGCCAAAAUAUGUAAGGGUGAAGGGAAGGAGUUAUAAUUGCCUGGCCACUGUGUGAUUUCUGAAAUUGGAAAUAUGUCUACACUGAAAGUACAGUGAUUCUGUGAAAACCCCAGGUAGUUGUCCGGGAUUAACUGCUCGAGUCCCUAAAGCAAGAAGCAAGAAGCAAGAAGCACAAAGGCAGAACAAGCUGUGCACCACAGACACAACAUCUUACACAAGACUGAAGCUGGGAGCACAUGCUUCCAGACAGUUGUUUGGAGGGUGCAUUCAACUCUGUCAGAAAGCUUGACUCCAGACUCCCAGUGUUUUUCUACACAUGAAUACAGAAUUGUACGAAAGAAGUAUCUGGUUUUUUGUUCAAUCUUCACACGCCUUCCUGAUUUUUUUUUUUUUUUUUUUGUGAUGGGAAUAACAAUGGUAUGAACCUUAAAAAUGGCAAAGUCAGAGGCAGGGUGCAUUAUACACAAAACAUACAGCUUUAUCAUUUCAAACAUUCUUCAGAGAUCAUAUGAUUUGGAAACAUAAAAUGCAAGUGCAUUGUUAUAAGGAAAGUCAGUCCUGUAAAUACUAACUAAAGUGUCAUAAUAAAUGUCUCUGUUGUAAUCAAAUAUUACACAUUUAUCUUGAAAAAAAAAUCAGCAGCAAACAGAGCUCUUUGCAGCCCCCCAGUGGUUGGAAGGGGAAAGAAGCGAGAACAAGGGGAAUUCGGACAGUUAACUCUCAAUCUGCAGGGCCAAUAAACUUUUUACCCUGGAAAAACAAAUGUCUAGUUUGUUUGUUUGUUUGUUUGUUUUUGAGACGGAGUUUCAUUCUUGUUGCCCAGGCUGGAGUGUAAUAGCGCGAUCUCGGCUCAUUGAAACCUCUGCCUCCCGGGUUCAAG